rnacentral:rRNA from 1 species
UGAGUAAUGCCUAGGAAUCUGCCUAGUAGUGGGGGAUAACGUCCGGAAACGGGCGCUAAUACCGCAUACGUCCUACGGGAGAAAGUGGGGGAUCUUCGGACCUCACGCUAUUAGAUGAGCCUAGGUCGGAUUAGCUAGUUGGUGAGGUAAUGGCUCACCAAGGCGACGAUCCGUAACUGGUCUGAGAGGAUGAUCAGUCACACUGGAACUGAGACACGGUCCAGACUCCUACGGGAGGCAGCAGUGGGGAAUAUUGGACAAUGGGCGAAAGCCUGAUCCAGCCAUGCCGCGUGUGUGAAGAAGGUCUUCGGAUUGUAAAGCACUUUAAGUUGGGAGGAAGGGCAGUUACCUAAUACGUGAUUGUUUUGACGUUACCGACAGAAUAAGCACCGGCUAACUCUGUGCCAGCAGCCGCGGUAAUACAGAGGGUGCAAGCGUUAAUCGGAAUUACUGGGCGUAAAGCGCGCGUAUGUGGUUUGUUAAGUUGGAUGUGAAAGCCCCGGGCUCAACCUGGGAACUGCAUCCAAAACUGGCAAGCUAGAGUAUGGUAGAGGGGUGGUGGAAUUUCCU